AGCUGAAUUUGCAAUAUCACUGCCUUAUUUCCCUGCAGUUAAAAAGGAAAGAAUUGGAAUAUUUAUGAAUUUAAACAUUAGUAUUUUUGCAAGUCUUUGAGGCUGUCGUUUUGAUUUAUGUGGGCUACAUUUAGAUUUGCAUGUAAGCCCAGCCCUUGAUUGCUUUGAAACCUUUUGGUUUCACACAAACUGUUGUGUGUGAGCUGCAGUGAUGUCUCUGCUGCAGAACUCUGCAGCCCCGGUGAUUCCCCUCCAACAACUUCUGGAUCCUGCUGCUUCUGGAGAUGAUGGCACACCUUCAGCCAGCAAAGGUUUGCACUGGGGGAUUAUUUACUGGAGACUUGCAGUGUGCCAGAAUGUAAUUCCUGAGAUUGUAAGAAAGGAAAAUGCCCAGGAAGGAAUGGCCUGCUCUGCUCAGUGCUGCCUGUGCCUCUCAGCUGAUUGAAUUUCAUUGACCAGGUUAAUAUCGAGCCCUCGUGCAAUUACUGGCAGAGAAUGGAAUAUCAUUUUUUUGCCUUGCUUUUGAGCUGUGGAAGGAAGGUUUAUAUUUCAAAUGUUCUUUUAAUCGUGCAAGCAGGCUCUUGAAAAAGUCCCUUUAAUUUAGGGCAGGCUGGAAGAGUGCAGUUCAUGAGGCUUUUCCCCAAGUAACUUUUUCUUUUUUUUUUUUUAAUGCUGAGCUAUAGCAGGAGAAGGCAUUAAUCUUCAUUACAGAACAAGCUUGAUGUAAACCUGUGUGGCCUCUGUGGCCAAAGCAGUCUGGCUGCAUAGCUCAGGGAGCAGCA
rnacentral:lncRNA from 1 species